rnacentral:rRNA from 1 species
ACGAGUAGUACAUGAGUACCACAGAGAGCACCGGCUAACUCCGUGCCAGCAGCCGCGGUAAUACGGAGGGUGCGAGCGUUAAUCGGAAUUACUGGGCGUAAAGGGUGCGUAGGUGGUUGAUUAAGUUAUCUGUGAAAUUCCUGGGCUUAACCUGGGACGGUCAGAUAAUACUGGUUGACUCGAGUAUGGGAGAGGGUAGUGGAAUUUCCGGUGUAGCGGUGAAAUGCGUAGAGAUCGGAAGGAACACCAGUGGCGAAGGCGGCUACCUGGCCUAAUACUGACACUGAGGCACGAAAGCGUGGGGAGCAAACAGGAUUAGAUACCCUGGUAGUCCACGCUGUAAACGAUGUCAACUAGCUGUUGGUUAUAUGAAAAUAAUUAGUGGCGCAGCAAACGCGUUAAGUUGACAUCG